GAAAUAUGUCGAAAAUGUAGAAUGACAUUUUUUCGUAUGACGUUUCGAUUUUGAGAAAAUCGAAUUUGAAAUUUUGUCAAAUAUAUUCGAAUUUGAUCAGACCCGGAUUGGACAGUAGAGAAGAGUCGGUGGGGCGUUAUUCUACUCAGCAAUUAACCAAGUUUAAAUAUGAAGAAUCCACGAGGAAAAAGGGAAAUGUCAAUUUUAACGAAUUUUGAAUUUUACAUUUUUCCUACUGUGUAAUGCUACCGUGUGUGCUCAUUAUCACGGGCUACGUCGUAUUAAUUUGAAUGAAAAUUUCCUGCAGUUUCAUGGUAAUUACAAGAAAUUGUGGUGUGCAAUGUACUUUUCAUUUUUCACAGUCUAAUUUAACGCAUUAUAUAUUUCUUCGUAUCACAAGGAAAAGUUAAAAAUGGUGCAGAAUAAAAGGAUGAAUAAAAUAUCUCAUUCUUAUAUAAUACCUAUGAGAGAAUAUAAAAUGGUGACAUGAUACAUCGAAAAAUAA